rnacentral:rRNA from 1 species
AGCUUACACAUGCCAGUCGAACGGUGAAGUGGUUUCGGCCUCUUCAUAGUGGCGAACGGGUGCGUAACACGUGGGAACAUACCCAUAGGUGGGGAAUAACUACGGGAAACUGUAGCUAAUGCCCCAUAUGCUCUACGGAGUAAAGAUUUAUUGCCUAUGGAUUGGCCCGCGGUCGAUUAGAUAGUUGGUAGGGUAAAAGCCUACCAAGUCUAUGAUCGAUAGCUGGUUUGAGAGAAUGAUCAGCCACAUUGGGACUGAGAUACGGCCCAAACUCCUACGGGAGGCAGCAGUGAGGAAUAUUGGACAAUGGAGGAAACUCUGAUCCAGCCAUGCCGCGUGAGUGAUGAAGGCUUUCGAGUUGUAAAGCUCUUUUAGCGGGGAAGAUAAUGACGGUACCCGCAGAAAAAGCCCCGGCUAACUCCGUGCCAGCAGCCGCGGUAAGACGGAGGGGGCUAGUGUUGUUCGGAAUUAUUGGGCGUAAAGGGUGCGUAGGUGGUUUAUUAGGUUGAGUGUGAAAUCUUGGAGCUUAACUCCAAAACUGCGCUCANAACCAAUGUACUAGAGUGCAAGAGAG